GUGCUUGCACCUGGUGGCGAGUGGCGAACGGGUGAGUAAUACAUCGGAACGUACCUUAUCGUGGGGGAUAACGCAGCGAAAGCUGUGCUAAUACCGCAUACGCCCUGAGGGGGAAAGCGGGGGAUCGAAAGACCUCGCGCGAUUAGAGCGGCCGAUGCCUGAUUAGCUUGUUGGUGGGGUAAAAGCCCACCAAGGCGACGAUCAGUAGCUGGUCUGAGAGGACGAUCAGCCACACUGGGACUGAGACACGGCCCAGACUCCUACGGGAGGCAGCAGUGGGGAAUUUUGGACAAUGGGGGAAACCCUGAUCCAGCAAUGCCGCGUGAGUGAAGAAGGCCUUCGGGUUGUAAAGCUCUUUUGUCAGGGAAGAAACACCGGCUCUAACACAGUCCGGGAAUGACGGUACCUGAAGAAUAAGCACCGGCUAACUACGUGCCAGCAGCCGCGGUAAUACGUAGGGUGCGAGCGUUAAUCGGAAUUACUGGGCGUAAAGCGUGCGCAGGCGGUUAUACAAGACAGGCGUGAAAUCCCCGGGCUUAACCUGGGAAUGGCGCCUGUGACUGUAUAGCUAGAGUGUGUCAGAGGGGGGUAGAAUUCCACGUGUAGCAGUGAAAUGCGUAGAUAUGUGGAGGAAUACCAAUGGCGAAGGCAGCCCCCUGGGAUAACACUGACGCUCAUGCACGAAAGCGUGGGGAGCAAA
rnacentral:rRNA from 1 species